rnacentral:rRNA from 1 species
CCUACGGGAGGCAGCAGUGGGGAAUAUUGCACAAUGGACGAAAGUCUGAUGGAGCAACGCCGCGUGAGCGAUGAAGGCCUUCGGGUCGUAAAGCUCUGUUGUUAGGGAAGAACAAGUACCGGAGUAACUGCCGGUACCUUGACGGUACCUGACCAGAAAGCCACGGCUAACUACGUGCCAGCAGCCGCGGUAAUACGUAGGUGGCAAGCGUUGUCCGGAAUUAUUGGGCGUAAAGCGCGCGCAGGCGGUUCCUUAAGUCUGAUGUGAAAGCCCCCGGCUCAACCGGGGAGGGUCAUUGGAAACUGGGGAACUUGAGUGCAGAAGAGGAGAGCGGAAUUCCACGUGUAGCGGUGAAAUGCGUAGAGAUGUGGAGGAACACCAGUGGCGAAGGCGGCUCUCUGGUCUGUAACUGACGCUGAGGCGCGAAAGCGUGGGGAGCGAACAGGAUUAGAUACCCUGGUAGUCCACGCCGUAAACGAUGAGUGCUAAGUGUUAGAGGGUUUCCGCUCCUUUAGUGCUGCAGCAAACGCAUUAAGCACUCCGCCUGGGGAGUACGGCCGCAAGGCUGAAACUCAAAGGAAUUGACGG